UACGAAAGGGGCUAGCGUUGUUCGGAAUCACUGGGCGUAAAGCGCACGUAGGCGGCGCGUUAAGACAGGGGUGAAAUCCUGGAGCUCAACUCCAGAACUGCCCUUGAUACUGGUGUGCUCGAGUGUGGGAGAGGUUGGUGGAACUCCGAGUGUAGAGGUGAAAUUCGUAGAUAUUCGGAAGAACACCAGUGGCGAAGGCGGCCAACUGGCCCAUUACUGCCGCUGAGGUGCGAAAGCGUGGGUAGCAAACAGG
rnacentral:rRNA from 1 species